GUCUCUUUACUGUUAGACAAUGUCUGGUCUCUAGCUGUCUCUUUACUGUUAGACGAGACUAGACAUUGUCUAACAGUAAAGAGACAGCUAGAGACUAGACAUUGUCUAACAGUAAAGAGAC
rnacentral:pre_miRNA from 1 species